rnacentral:rRNA from 1 species
UGAGGGAUAUUGGGGCAAUGGGGGAAACCCUGACCCAGCGACGCCGCGUGAGGGAAGACGGUCUUCGGAUUGUAAACCUCUGUCUUUGGGGACGAAAAAGGACGGUACCCAAGGAGGAAGCUCCGGCUAACUACGUGCCAGCAGCCGCGGUAAUACGUAGGGAGCGAGCGUUGUCCGGAAUUACUGGGUGUAAAGGGAGCGUAGGCGGGAAGGCAGGUUGGAUGUGAAAACUGUGGGCUCAACCGACAGACUGCAUUCAAAACUGUUUUUCUUGAGUGAAGUAGAGGCAAGCGGAAUUCCUAGUGUAGCGGUGAAAUGCGUAGAUAUUAGGAGGAACACCAGUGGCGAAGGCGGCUUGCUGGGCUUUUACUGACGCUGAGGCUCGAAAGUGUGGGGAGCAAACAGGAUUAGAUACC